rnacentral:snRNA from 1 species
GAGCUUGAUACAGCAGCACAUCUUCUAAAAUUGGAACAAUACAGACAAGAUUAACAUGGCCCUGUGCAAGGAUGAUGUGCAAAUUUGUGAAGAGAAGCUUACAGGA